rnacentral:lncRNA from 1 species
AAGGAGCCAAGGAGCACCUGGGGGCUUUGGGAAGCUGCACCUGUGACCCCCUGGAGCUGUUUUCAGCAGGGCUUUCUCUGUCCAUCCCAGCAGAGCACAGCUGGGCCGGGCUGAGGAGCUGCAGCUCCAGGAGUGGGGCCACAGCCAGUGCCCGUCCCUGGCACUGGUGUUAGUAAAUGAUCCAUAUUUCAUCAGCCUGGCAGCAAAGGGAUGCUAAUGCAGCUCUGAUCACACCGAGAUCUCUCCAUCAAGGAGCUGCCAGCCCAUCCCCAGCUUUGAACUGGAACAUUUAAUACAUCCUCUGGAAUUUCCCAGCCUACCAGGGCUGCUUUCACCCAUCUCCACAGCCAAAUCCAGGCCAUUUGGCCAAACCCCAGCCAGACCCCGACACGAGGGAACCAUUCCCAAAAAAUCCCAGUUAAAGGCUGAUGAGCAUUCCCUGGCACUGCUGCUGCUGCUCUGCUCCUCAAAGAUAAGCUGGGACAGCGAAUUUAUUGCUGCCAGUUCCAGCUUUGUUCCCUGGCAGGUGCUUGGAUGACGUUAAUGGGAAAAAAAAAAUCUGUUAUUUUCAUAACAGAGCUCUCGAAAAAAUGCAAGAUUUCUUGGUUUCUGCGUGCUCAGAGGUGGAAUGGGGGCUGUGGCCUGGGCAAAUCCCCCCCAGCACAGCCAGGAUCGCCUCCUGCUGCUCCAGGAGGUGGCAAGGCAGCAGGAUUUUUGCAUUGCUCUUCCCUGGAGGGGGAAGAUCACGAGGUGAUAAAAUCAAAGGGAAUGGCUGAUUUAACAAGGAUCUUUUCCAUGGAAUCCAGGCUCCGUUUGGGUUUUCCAUGGCCCUCCAGCUCUGGUGGAGCUCCCAGCACGGCCCUGACUUAAUUGAGAGCCGAGCACAGGAGGAGUGGAAUUGAUUUUCUGUACCUGAAAAUUCAGGGCAGUGCUCGGAAAAGCCCGAGGAAGG